UUAAACUCUUAACAUUAUAGAGUGUAUUUUUGGAAUAAAAAGAAAACUUAUUUCUAGAUGCGUGUUUUUUAAAAUAUCGAAAGAUAGAUAGAGGGGGUUUUUGUUUAGAAGCUAAUUAGAGUGCCAGCAGCUGCGGUUAAACUCGGGUCUGAGGGUUGUAUUAGGUUCAAAUAAAAUAUAGGUUGUAWGAAAGGGAAACUUGUUGGUAUAUUUUCCCUCUAYGCUUAUAAGAAAUUGGAAUUGCUAGACUGGAAUAUAUUUCUGUAUAUUUUCGAAUUAUUUACUUYCCAUAUCGAAUAAAAAGACUUGGCAAAGGUUCUAGCUUGGGGGAGUGUGCUUAUUYAAGGUUAAUACGCCCAUUAGUUGACUGUUCUUUUCAGUCAGUGUACGGUUGUUUUUUUGUUUUUCUGAGAAGUAAGCUUCUAAUAACAAAUCUAUGUGCUGCUUAUGGAGCAGUUUUGUAGUUCACUACGAUUAUAGCAAGRAUUUUUAAACAGGUUGUUGUUUUAGAACUAAAAAGUAAAAUAUAGAYUAUUAUGCUUAUUUGAAUUGCAUUAGCGCAUGUACACACCGCCCGUCACUAUUCUUCGGAAUAUAAGUCGUAACAUGGUAAGUAUAGCUGAAGCUGUACUU
rnacentral:rRNA from 1 species